rnacentral:rRNA from 1 species
GACGAACGCUGGCGGCGUGCCUAAUACAUGCAAGUAGAACGCUGAAGGAGGAGCUUGCUUCUCUGGAUGAGUUGCGCACGGGUGAGUAACGCGUAGGUAACCUGCCUGGUAGCGGGGGAUAACUAUUGGAAACGAUAGCUAAUACCGCAUAACAGUAGAUAUCGCAUGAUAUCUACUUGAAAGGUGCAAUUGCAUCACUACCAGAUGGACCUGCGUUGUAUUAGCUAGUUGGUGAGGUAACGGCUCAACAAGGCGACGAUACAUAGCCGACCUGGGAGGGGGAACGGCCACACUGGGACUGGGACACGGCCCAGACUCCUACGGGAGGGAGCAGGAGGGAAUCUUCGGCAAUGGACGGAAGUCUGACCGUGCAACGCCGCGUGAGUGAAGGAGGUUUUCGGAUCGUAAAGCUCUGGUGUAAGAGAAGAACGAGUGGGAGAGUGGAAAGUUCACGCUGUGACGGUAUCUUACCAGAAAGGGACGGCUAACUACGUG